rnacentral:rRNA from 1 species
AUUGAACGCUGGCGGCAGGCCUAACACAUGCAAGUCGAACGAGCGGCGGACGGGUGAGUAAUGUCUGGGAAACUGCCUGAUGGAGGGGGAUAACUACUGGAAACGGUGGCUAAUACCGCAUACCAUCGGAUGUGCCCAGAUGGGAUUAGCUAGUAGGUGGGGUAAAGGCUCACAUAGGCAACGAUCCCUAGCUGGUCUGAGAGGAUGACCAGCCAAACUGGGACGGAGACACGGCCCAGACUCCUACGGGAGGCCGCAGUGGGGAAUAUUGCACAAUGGGCGCAAGCCUGAUGCAGCCAUGCCGCGUGUAUGAAGAAGGCCUUCGGGUUGUAAAGUACUUUCAGCGGGGAGGCGUUACCCGCAGAAGAAGCACCGGCUAACUCCGUGCCAGCAGCCGCGGUAAUAC